CAGGCUUUCCUUUUCAGAGGUCAGUGGUAGGCUUGCGCUUCCCUACGCAGAAUCACUCGUGACUAAUCAAAACAAGCGCGCGCGGCCGGAGAGACGCAUGCGUCAACAUGAGGAGGAGGACAACUUUAAACUCUAAAAGCACGGUUUAAUCCACUUUUUGCAUUAACUGAAUUCGGUCAACUUCUUGUUUGCUGACAACAUGUAUGACAGCUAGCUAUAUGGUUUGUCAGCCGCUAGCCACAUUGUACCUGAAAUUAGAUUUGGUGAAAUGGUGCUACCAGAUUAAACAGAAUCCACAAACAGAAAGAAUAUAGCCGACAAACAUUAUACAGACAGUGCAUCAAUUUGGGAAUACACCAAGAUGAUUCACGUGCUCCAGUCCUACUGCAUCAUCUCUACAGGGGUUCGUAUCACCUGCACCAACCAGACAGAACAGGGCAAACGCACCCCGAUCCUCUGCACCAGCGCCACGACAGUUAUUUUACAUCAACAACCCUCCGUGUGAUCCUUCUAAGGUUUCCAAGCUUGUGAAUUAAGUGUAUCACACGUUUAAUAGACAUCCAUUUGAUGCAUUGAACAUCACUGUUGCCUCAGAGUGUGUGGAUGUGAACGUCACUACAGACAGGAGUCAAAUCUUUCUCCAGGAAGAGAAGCUUCUGCUAGCCAUCAUGAAGAGCUCUCUCAUCGCCAUGUACGAGACUGGAGUCAACAAGAUCAGCCUCAACCAUACAUCCUUCCCCAUGACCAACCAGCAGAGCCUCCGUCUGAAAUGGAAGAUUGUCAGGUGGUUCCAUCUUCUGAGAUGACGGCUCCCAAAGCUGGAUAUUAUUUUGAACCUGUGAUUCCAAGUCCCAGAUCAUCUCUCAAUCUGGCUGGCUUAAAAACUGCUAUGUCCAUGCACAACAGCCAGGCACUGGGGCUAAGUCGCCGCCGCAACCUUCGCUCUCUCUCUCCCACUACUCUCUCCUCUUCCAUCCUAUCAUCUCUUCCCUCUGCUCAAU